GUUUCUGACCUAUCAGCUUUCGACGGUAUGGUAUUGGCUUACCGUGGCAGUGACGGUUAACGGGGGAUUAGGGUUCGAUUCCGGAGAGGGAGCCUGAGAAACGGCUACCACAUCUAAGGAAGGCAGCAGGCGCGCAAAUUACCCAAUUCUAACAGCAUAAGAGAGGUAGUGACAAGAAAUAACAGUACAAGGCAGUUAAAAUGCUUUGUAAUUGGAAUGAUAGAAAUUUAAACGCUUUUUAAAGUAUCAAUUGGAGGGCAAGUCUGGUGCCAGCAGCCGCGGUAAUUCCAGCUCCAAUAGCGUAUAUUAAAAUUGUUGCAGUUAAAAAGCUCGUAGUUGAAUUUCUGCUAAAAAUAACCGGUCUGCUUUUAUUUAUAAAAGUGGUAUCUUGGUGUGUUUUUAGUAAUAAUAUCUUUAGAAAUGUUUUUUACUUUGCUGUAAAAAGCAAUAUUCAGGAUUUUUACUUUGAGAAAAUUAGAGUGUUUCAAGCAAGCUAACGUUUUGAAUACUGCAGCAUGGAAUAAUAAAAUAGGAUUUUGGUUCUACAUUAUUGGUUUUAAGAACUAAAUUAAUGAUUAAUAGGAACAGUUGGGGGCAUUUGUAUUUAACUGUCAGAGGUGAAAU
rnacentral:rRNA from 1 species